rnacentral:rRNA from 2 species
AACUCGAAGAGUAGGGCGGGACACGUGGUAUCCUGUCUGAAUAUGGGGGGACCAUCCUCCAAGGCUAAAUACUCCUGACUGACCGAUAGUGAACCAGUACCGUGAGGGAAAGGCGAAAAGAACCCCGGCGAGGGGAGUGAAAAAGAACCUGAAACCGUGUACGUACAAGCAGUGGGAGCACCUUCGGGUGUGACUGCGUACCUUUUGUAUAAUGGGUCAGCGACUUAUAUUCUGUAGCAAGGUUAACCGUAUAGGGGAGCCGCAGGGAAACCGAGUCUUAACUGGGCGUUAAGUUGCAGGGUAUAGACCCGAAACCCGGUGAUCUAGCCAUGGGCAGGUUGAAGGUUGGGUAACACUAACUGGAGGACCGAACCGACUAAUGUUGAAAAAUUAGCGGAUGACUUGUGGCUGGGGGUGAAAGGCCAAUCAAACCGGGAGAUAGCUGGUUCUCCCCGAAAGCUAUUUAGGUAGCGCCUCGUGAACUCAUCUUCGGGGGUAGAGCACUGUUUCGGCUAGGGGGUCAUCCCGACUUACCAACCCGAUGCAAACUACGAAUACCGAAGAAUGUUAUCACGGGAGACACACGGCGGGUGCUAACGUCCGUCGUGAAGAGGGAAACAACCCAGACCGCCAGCUAAGGUCCCAAAGUCAUGGUUAAGUGGGAAACGAUGUGGGAAGGCACAGACAGCCAGGAUGUUGGCUUAGAAGCAGCCAUCAUUUAAAGAAAGCGUAAUAGCUCACUGGUCGAGUCGGCCUGCGCGGAAGAUGUAACGGGGCUAAACCAUGCACCGAAGCUGCGGCAGCGACACUAUGUGUUGUUGGGUAGGGGAGCGUUCUGUAAGCCUGCGAAGG